GUAUGGUUCCAUGGCUCAGGAUGAAUAAGUCAACUGCUAUUCGAUAAAAGGCUGGGGCAAGUGUUGACUAAACGCUUUGGUAUAACAAAAGUAACUCUUAAAUUUUGUUAUUAUCUAAAGCUUGGAUUGCUCUCUGUGUAACCUGAAGCUGGAAAAAACCUCUCAGGUGGUUCCUGUAUGACAUGUAACCAACCUAGAUUCCAUUGGCAAUAACAGACCUGCAUGGCAGCUGUCUGAAGAGAUUGUCCAACAAAGUAAUGGGUCAUUGGCAUACUGGCAGAGAGAAUGACAUCAUCUAUUCUGUAGGGAGGUACAUGUUGAGGAAGAACAAAGAAAACCCGAGUGCUGACUGCUCAGUUCAGGCUGUCAAGAUUUUUCUAAAAUGAGUUUCUAUGACUCUUGAGUCUUCCUUUGAAAUAAAGCAACAGAAGAAAGAAACACCAGAUUCUCCAAGAAUAAAAUCUUUACCUACUGCUUAACUACCUACUCAUCAGUCCCAGACAGACCCUAGGCAUCACCUCUGACUACUUCUACUUGUCAAGAUCUAUUGCUCUGUCACCUAGAGAGAUAAGGCUGUUGGCACAGAUAUGGCAGAGUAUUGUGGCAUUGAUGGCUACAAGUAUAAAACAGGAACCUGGAGCUGGUGACACAUGAGGCUGUUGAAUGUGAUGCGAGACAGAAAAGAAACAGCUAAAGAGAGGAGUCUGAAAGAUGAGACCCUGAAUGGACCCAAGGAUGAAUCUUUCUUUCUGGACUUUUGGGUGCACCUGCAUGAACUGACCUGCUUUGCGAUAUAUCCCUUCAUCUAGCUGCCCCAUAUUGGCCUGGUGAAUUUCUCAUCCUCACUUUUGGCCUCUAGUAUUGGCCCUUUCUUUUGAAUCAAGUUUGAAUCCAGUUGCUAUGGAGGGACAUUCCCAGUUCUGCUCUUGAUGGCAGCAAGAAGAACAAGAGGAGGAGCCCUGAUUUCACAGCACCUGAUCUCACUCGCCAGCAAUCUCACCAGGAGCAAGUGGAUUGAUCGAGUUUGGAUCUCUGCUCCCAGGUCUCUGCUUCAGCUCCUGAAGCAGAGAUGUCGUUUAACGUGAUAGAUUCCCCCUGGAGAAGCACCCAGGGCUGUGACAGAAAAAGACAGAAUUACUGGCUGCCUGGCAGGCAGAUUGAAAGUGCUGGACCAGCUAAAAGGUUGUUUUCCUGUCAUUCAGGUUUUACUAGAAAGCUUGCGUAGAGGGAAGCAGUCAGGAGGAGAGAGGUCGGGGUUACAUGGGGUGCAGUGAAUCAAGCUUCCUCUCUCAGACAAGUAUUUGCUUGCUUUGCUCCAAACUCUCUCUUCUCCCACCCCACCCUAGCACUUCUACCAGGAACCUCAGGCCAAGUCACCCCUGAACCACCUCCUACUAUACCGAGAAUGCUAAGGGGAUGACCCCCUGGCUCACAAAGGAUGACACGGAGAUUCAAGAGGGGCACUGGGAGUCAGGGAAAGCCUGGGCUAAGCUCUAGGUCUCUGUUUUGCCUUUCUUUACUUCUGCAUAUUUAUAAUCCUGUUCUCUCUCCUGGAAAUUCCUUUUCCAACUUCUGCCUAGUGACUGAAUUUUAUUAACUGCUGUUGAUUGAUAACAUUCUUGUACCUGUGUUCUAGGCCCUCAUAGUCUAGCAUUAAAAUAAACAGGGUAAUAUCUUUAGUGAAUGAAAAUUUUCAUUUCUUUAUGGCAGGUCAGCAAUAAGCAAAAUAAAUAUAGACCAAGCACUUACAGCAUUUUACGUGUUGUUAACAUCCUAUGUGGGAAAAUGUGGCAAGUGAAGCUUAUAAAGUCUAGGAGGUGGGGAGAGACUUUAGAUGGAAUAGUCACAGCAAGAACUUGAAGAUAAGAAAGUCAGCACCAGGUUAAAAGGAGGAGGAGGAGGAGACAGCGAAGCAAACAAUGUUAGGCAAGAUCUUCUGGAACCAGCAAGAAGGCUGAUGUGACUGGGCAUGUGUGAGUAAGACAAGGCUGAGGGAGUGAGUGGAGGUGGAUAGUGAGUGGAAAUAGUGAAACAACUUUGGCUUUCCAGUGGCUAAAAUCAGAAAAAAAUGGAACUGUGACACUGUCUGACUUAAUUUUGAAAGCAUCUUCAUAGUAAGAAUAGAAGCAGCUAGAGCUGUAAGAGGCAACAGUAUGAAUUUAUCAAUAUCUCAGAAAGAGGGUGGUAUCAAUAGAAACAAAAUUUAGUCAAAUUACAGAUGAUGUCUGACAACAGAAGGAAUUGAUGAGUUGUAAGUGAGAAGCUGGCAAUGAUCCAAACAUUUUAGCCUUGCAUGACCAUAGGAUAGAACCAUCAUUAAUGGAGUGAAGGGACUCUCGGUUGUGAGUUUCUGGAGUAGGCCAAGUUUGAGGUGCCCACUAGACACUCAGGCAGUUAUCACAUGACACUUAGAGGUAUAAACCUUGAGUUCAGAAAGAGAUUUCUGAUAUAGACCUACACUAUAAAGCAUCUGAAUGUGCAUGAUAUUUUAAGUCAUCAUCAAAAGCAAAAUCACCAACAGAAGACUAUUAACAGAAGAAGGAAGAGGCUGGAAGAAUAUUCCAACUGGUAAGUUAUCAAGGAGAUGUGAAGGCAGUCAAGGAAAUGGAGAGAAACUAAGAUAACCGGCACUGAGUUAAGGAACACUGCAGGAGGAUGGAUAGAUGGAAUGUCCUAAAAGAAGUUGGACCGUUGCUUGAAAGGGAUGGGGCAGAUUGUGAAAAAAAAAUAGAUACAUGUGGAGCUUAAGAAAGUCAAAUUUAUAGAAGUGGUGGUCAAGCAAUGAUUUCUAUGGCUAGUGGGUAGGAGAAACAAGGUGUUGAUCAAGUAGCACAAAGCCCAGUUGUGAGUAAGUGCUGAAUAUCUCAGGUACAGCAAGGGUGGUGAUGCAGAUGUUAAUUUGAAUGUGGCAAUCAUUUCACAAUGUACACAUAAGAUUAAAUGAUCACAUUGUGUACCAUCAAAUAUACAUACUCUUACUAAAUCUUUUAAAAUGAAUUUUAAUGAAUGUCUAUUGUGUUAGGGAACAUGGAACCUGUUGGCAAUCUUAUAAAGGCAACCUGUGAUGGGUAAUCUUGACUGUCAACUUGACAGGCUCUAGAAUAACCUAGGAUAAAAACUGCUGUACAUAUCUAGAUUGAGUUAAUUGAGGGAUAAAGACCCACCUUAAAUGCUGGUGGUACCAUUCUAUGGGCUUAUUGAAAAGGAGUAAAGGGAGCUAGCUAGAGUCUUCCUGGAUGGCCCAAGGUCAGGACAAAUCUCUCUCACCCGCCAGUCCGCAGCUGCUCAGACCCAACCAAGUAAACACACAGAGACUUAUAUUGCUUACAAACUAUA